rnacentral:snRNA from 1 species
GUGCUUAUUUCAUCAGCACAUAUAGUAAAAUUGAAAUGAUACAGAAAAUUAGCAUGGCCCCUGCACAAGGAUGAUACACAAAUUUGUGAAGUAUUCCAUAUUUUU